GAUGAACGCUAGCGGCAGGCCUAAUACAUGCAAGUCGAACGGGUGGUCGCAAGACCACUAGUGGCGCACGGGUGCGUAACGCGUAACCAACCUGCCCCGAUCUGGGGGAUAGCCCGCCGAAAGGCGGAUUAAUACCGCAUAUACCCGCAGCCUGGCAUCAGGCAACGGGGAAAGAUUUAUUGGAUCGGGAUGGGGUUGCGUGACAUUAGCUAGUUGGCGGGGUAAGGGCCCACCAAGGCGACGAUGUCUAGGGGACCUGAGAGGGUGAUCCCCCACACUGGCACUGAGAUACGGGCCAGACUCCUACGGGAGGCAGCAGUAGGGAAUAUUGGGCAAUGGGCGAGAGCCUGACCCAGCCAUGCCGCGUGCCGGAUGAAGGCCCUCUGGGUUGUAAACGGCUUUUCUCAGGGAAGAAAAAGACCUUGCGAGGUACACUGACGGUACCUGAGGAAUAAGCACCGGCUAACUCCGUG
rnacentral:rRNA from 1 species